UACAAAGCACACCAUGCUGAGAGGAAAGGAGAUCUCAGGGGACAUCAGGACAGCACACCAGUAGUGAGAGCACACCAGUAGUGAGAGCACAUCAGUCUGGGGAGGCUAUACAAUAAUCUCAAAAGGAUUUAAUCUCCAUCAGUCCACUGUGAGGCAAAUCAUUUACAUUUAACAUGACAGCAACUUGGCCUGGAAGUGGACGCCCUUCCAAAAUAUCCCCAAGAACCACAAGAGCAAAAAUAAUUCAGGAAGAAGCCUCUGCUGUCAAAGAAGAACCAAACUGCCCAUCUUAACUUUGCGAGAGACCACCUGGACAAACCUGAAGUCAAGCAUGGUGAUGGAAAUGACAAGAUCUGGGGCUGCUUUUCCUCCUCUGGACCUGGACGACUCCACAUCAUUAAGGGAACCAUACAUUCUGAGGUACACCAGGUGCUUCUUGAACAGAACGUCAGGCCGUAAGUCAAGGAGCUAAAGCUGGGGAUGAAAAUG